GAAUGAUUUCUUAUUAAUAAAGAAACUGCCUAGGCCCAUUUGCAUUUGAUAGGCCAACCCUUAGGUGGGUGGAGAAAACAGAACAGAAUUGUGGGAAAAAGAAGCUGAGAGAGAGUCGCCAUGAUUCUCCCACUCCAGACAGACGCAGGUUAAGAUCCUCCCUGGUAAGCCAGCUCGUGGGCUACAUAGAAUAUUAGAAAUGGGUUAGAACAAUAUGUAAGAGCUAGCCAAUAAGAAGCUGGAACUAGCCGGGCCAGGCAGUGUUUGAAAGAA